AAAAAUAUAUUUUCAACCCCCCAAUCGUUGUCUUCCAUUUUCGUGUUGUUCGCUUGCAGAACGAGAAAAUUUUUGUUGCGAUGUUUUAAAACAAAUCGCCUUUAAUUUUAUUAAGGAAAAUUAAGCGAAAAACCCAAACAACAAAACAAGUGCAAUGUAAAGUGUGCGAAUUAAUGGAGCAAUUAGAUAAAUCGGAGGCAGAAAUUGUCAACAAAAUUUACACGCAGGUGCGUAUGGGCACGCAGACGUGACAGCAACGGGUCAACUGGGCCUGCUUGCUCCGUGCAAAAAUUUCGAACAUCUUACAACCGUCUAUCUAAAGCGAACAUCUCUACAUCUGUCAACGCCUACAACAUAUUUCUUCUAUCUAUAAUAUAAGACAAAGACCACAAAACGAAUUAAGCCACUGGGAGGAAGACAAGGACGAUACGAAGAGAAGAAGUGCAAUAAACUAAACCAAAAAUCAUUUGUAUUACUUUUAAGUGAAACGAAACCAAAGAUUGGGAAUAAUCCCAUAAGAUAAGGAGAGGGCUGUCACGCACAUAGUUGGGAAGCCCUUUUCGAAACCCCCCC